UUUAGUCAGGCAACGAGCGAGACCCGCACCUCUAGUUGCCAGCAGCAUCUCGCGAUGGCUGGGUACACUAGGGGAACUGCCGCCGCCAAGGCGGAGGAAGGAACGGGCAACGGUAGGUCAGUAUGCCCCGAAUGAGCUGGGCAACACGCGGGCUACAAUGGCCGGGACAAUGGGAAGCCACCCCGAGAGGGGGCGCUAAUCUCCUAAACCUGGUCGUAGUUCGGAUUGAGGGCUGAAACUCGCCCUCAUGAAGCUGGAUUCGGUAGUAGUCGCGUUUCAGAAGAGCGCGGCGAAUACGUCCCUGCUCCUUGCACA
rnacentral:rRNA from 1 species